rnacentral:rRNA from 1 species
UUAUACCGUGAAACUGCGAAUGGCUCAUUAAAUCAGUUAUCGUUUAUUUGAUAAUACCUUACUACUUGGAUAACCGUGGUAAUUCUAGAGCUAAUACAUGCUGAAAAUCCCGACUUCGGAAGGGAUGUGUUUAUUAGAUAAAAAACCAAUGCCCUUCGGGGCUCCUUGGUGAUUCAUGAUAACUUUACGGAUCGCAUAGCCUUGCGCUGGCGACGGUUCAUUCAAAUUUCUGCCCUAUCAACUUUCGAUGGUAAGGUAUUGGCUUACCAUGGUUUCAACGGGUAACGGGGAAUUAGGGUUCGAUUCCGGAGAGGCAGCCUGAGAAACGGCUACCACAUCCAAGGAAGGCAGCAGGCGCGCAAAUUACCCAAUCCCGACACGGGGAGGUAGUGACAAUAAAUACUGAUACAGGGCUCUUUUGGGUCUUGUAAUUGGAAUGAGUACAAUUCAAAUCUCUUAACGAGGAACAAUUGGAGGGCAAGUCUGGUGCCAGCAGCCGCGGUAAUUCCAGCUCCAAUAGCGUAUAUUAAAGUUGUUGCAGUUAAAAAGCUCGUAGUUGAAACUUGGGCCUGGCUGGCGGGUCCGCCUCACCGCGUGCACUCGUCCGGCCGGGCCUUCCUUCUGAAGAACCUCAUGCCCUUCACUGGGCGUGCUGGGGAAUCAGGACUUUUACUUUGAAAAAAUUAGAGUGUUCAAAGCAGGCCUUUGCUCGAAUACGUUAGCAUGGAAUAAUAAAAUAGGGCGUGCGUUUCUAUUUUGUUGGUUUCUAGAGACGCCGCAAUGAUUAACAGGAACAGUCGGGGGCAUCAGUAUUCAGUUGUCAGAGGUGAAAUUCUUGGAUUUACUGAAGACUAACUACUGCGAAAGCAUUUGCCAAGGAUGUUUUCAUUAAUCAGUGAACGAAAGUUAGGGGAUCGAAGACGAUCAGAUACCGUCGUAGUCUUAACCGUAAACUAUGCCGACUAGGGAUCGGGCGAUGUUCUUUUUCUGACUCGCUCGGCACCUUACGAGAAAUCAAAGUUUUUGGGU